rnacentral:lncRNA from 1 species
GAAAAAGAAAGAAACACCAUUUCCUAAAUUAAUGUUUCCCUAUUUCUAAGGAACAAAAUGAGAGCUCUGGGCAAGUAGAGCCACACCUCUCUCACAGUCUACACUGUGAGAGAGCCAGGCCUGGAUGUGGGAGACCAGAAACCAGGGCUCUGUGCUUGAUUCUGUGAACAGAUGUAACACCAUGGCUCUGACUCCGAAUUCGGCUCGCCAAGGAAUGAGUCUAAAGCAUUUCGCCAGCCAGCGGAUGAUGCUGAGGAAGGGUUACCUAUAGACCAUUCCAAGUGUACCAGUGAAAUUCCAUAGAUUCUCACUAUUCUUGAAGCCACUGAAAGAAAUGCUUGAAGCCAAAGAAAAAGAUGCUGCCUGGG